AAAAAUUGAAUAUUAGUAAAAUUUGUUGUUGUUGUAGAAUCAAGAUCUUUUUUUUUUCUAUCGUCAGGGGCACAUGAUGCGUGAGGUCGUGACGAAAAGCUUUAUUUUUGUUCUUGCUCAAGCUUUAUUCUUAUCAUGGUGAUGAGGAAAAAAAAUUGGGGUAUAUCAAUUCAUCGGUUGAGUUCUUGGUUCCUAUAGUGUUGAUUUUGAGUUUUUGUUUUUAUGAGUGGAAGAUGGAAGAAAAGAG
rnacentral:lncRNA from 1 species